rnacentral:rRNA from 1 species
UGAGGAUGAAAGCGGGGGACCGUAAGGCCUCGCGCGAUCGGAGCGGCCGAUGUCAGAUUAGGUAGUUGGUGGGGUAAAGGCUCACCAAGCCGACGAUCUGUAGCUGGUCUGAGAGGACGACCAGCCACACUGGGACUGAGACACGGCCCAGACUCCUACGGGAGGCAGCAGUGGGGAAUUUUGGACAAUGGGCGAAAGCCUGAUCCAGCAAUGCCGCGUGCAGGAAGAAGGCCUUCGGGUUGUAAACUGCUUUUGUACGGAGCGAAAAGGCUCUCUCUAAUACAGGGGGCUCAUGACUGUACCGUAAGAAUAAGCACCGGCUAACUACGUGCCAGCAGCCGCGGUAAUACGUAGGGUGCAAGCGUUAAUCGGAAUUACUGGGCGUAAAGCGUGCGCAGGCGGUUUUGUAAGACAGGCGUGAAAUCCCCGGGCUCAACCUGCGAAUGGGGCUUGUGACUGCAAAGCUGGAGUGCGGCAGAGGGGGAUGGAAUUCCGCGUGUAGCAGUGAAAUGCGUAGAUAUGCGGAGGAAC